UCAUCCAGCCCAGUUGGUUCUGUGAUUCUAUGGUACUUACUCUGGAGCAUCGGCCUGGAAAGGGGCAGGCUACCUGCUGGGCAGUGUGGCAUCAGGAGGGAGACUCACAGCCUGGUGCUGUGCUGGCUGCUGGCUGGCUUUUGUGUGGGGUAUUAAGUGUGCAGAGGCUCACCUUGUGAAAUGUGCUGUGAGUGCUCACAUAGGAGACAAAGUGCUUGGAAAAGGUUAAAUGGGGUUUUAAAUAAGUUACUCAAAAUGUGCUGUGAACGAUAGAAUCACAGAAUGGUUAGGGCUGGAAGGGAGCUUUAAAUCGGCCACCUUGAGACCAGAAAACUAAACCCAUUAGAGAUGGUGACUGAGGAGGCAGUGACAGCGAUGUUGUCAGUUACAUGGCUGCAAGAGUUACUACUACAGUGGGGAAGCUGGCAUGGUGUGGAAAUUAUCCCCCAUUUCAAACAGCGGGCAGAAGGGAGGGCUUGCACAAGACAGCAACCUCAUCAGAGGGAAGUGGAACAGAUACUAACCUAUCACCUCUGCCUUAUAAACUGCCAAGAAGAGCCAGAUGUCCCAGAGCUUGUAUAAUAGAUUAUUUCCAGGGUUUAUCAAAUUUUUACUGGAGUGUUUAAUAUUCAAAAGAGAGACUUAGCAUUUAUUUUUUAUGAAACAGCAUUUAAGAAGAAAAGGACCUUUGGGAGUGGGAAGAGGCAUAAAGGUGGGGAGAGUGAAAGAAAAUAAAAAUUGCAGCCAUUAAACAGACAGCUGUCUUAUUUGUGUGAAGAAAUUCUUCACUAGUUACAAAUGCUUUCCGAAAGUCAAUCACACAAAGAAACACAAAGGCCCACAACUGAAGUAGUUUAUUUUUCUUGCCCCAUUCCUGGUUAUCCAAAGCAGUAAGACAGCACUGAAGAUUGGCCUCUAUGGCAGUUUAGCCUGGUUCCAGGCUGCUAUAAUCAUGUCCUUUUCUCCUUUUCUCUCCAUUACAUAUUCAGCAUCCCCUCUUUUCAGUAGCACCAGUCCUUCUGCAGCAGGGCAGUUUGCUGGUUAAAGGUGCUGAUCUGGCUGAAAGCUAACAUACUAUGUUGAUUGUUCUGUGUAGGUUUUGAGCUCUACCAGUUGCCUGAUGUACUUGGCUCACUGCAUAGCUGCAUAAACACCUACACCAGCUCAGGGAGGGAAAGAGGAAGGCAUCAAUGGUGCUGCAGGGGAGGAGUUCCCGGGUAAGAUCAGCUUUAGCUGCUGUGAAAUUUCACCCGACCAGAGAAGCCAGAAGUUACGGCUAAAGUCAAACCAAUCCUGCCCACCACCAAGCACAGCCUCGGCCCCCACUCCCUGCUGCCUGUCUGCCUUCAUAAGACGUGCUAGUGCUUGUGUAAAGCCACUCAACAAAAUUCAGCUCACUAGUCCAACAGGAAAAAAUCACCUACUGAAAAAGAAGGAAUAGUUUUCUUCUGGCUCAGCAGCUGUAGCAGCUUAGUGAAGAGAUGAAUCCUGGUACAGGGGCAGAGGAGGAAGAGGAGACAGGAGAGGCUCAGCUCAAUGAUGAAUCAUUGAAUCCCAGUCUACCUCAGAUUCAUGCUGAAAUUUCCAAGCUAUGGAUGAUUUUCAGAGGCAGGAUAUCAUACAUAAGUGGUGAAUACAAGGAUUCUUCCUUGCAGGUUGCCAGGUGUCAAAUGUCACAUCAGUUCAUGGUUCUUCUGAUCCACAGUCUUGUUUCAUGUGGCCAGAAUCAGCUUCUGCAGUACAGGCUGGCUGAGUGGCAGCUCAUUUCUACUGUUUCUGUCUCAAUUCCCUUUAGCACUCAUAUCUAAUCUCUGUGUUUUCAGUAAAUAGGAAUAAAAAUG